UUUCCUGUUGGGAUAUUAGGUGUGUUGCUUUUGUUUGCUGGUAUUGAAUUAGCUAUGUGUGCUAGAGAUAUGAAUAGUAAAGAAGAUUCAUUUGUGGCACUUAUUUGCACUGCUGUUUCAUUGGUUGGAUCAAGUGCUGCUCUUGGAUUUUUGGUUGGAAUGAUUGUUUAUGGGAUGCUUAAGCUAAGGAAUUGGAGUAAUGAUAAACCACUUUCUACCAUUUGGAAUCAGAAAAAUCAAGUGCUGCUCUUGGAUUUUUGGUUGGAAUGAUUGUUUAUGGGAUGCUUAAGCUAAGGAAUUGGAGUAAUGAUAAACCACUUUCUACCAUUUGGAAUCAGAAAAGUCCAAACUAAAUUUGAAGAAGAAAUUAAAGUGUUUAUUUAUGUGUGUACAGAUUCUUAGUGCAAGUGAGUUCGUGUGUAUGGUUUUCAUAAUAGGUUGAUUUCUUGAAACUUGUUUCUCUUUGUUGUUAUGUGAGAAACUUUAGGGGUUCUAGUUGUAGGACUCUUGAUUUGUAUCUGUAAAAAGUGUUUAGAGCAGUAGGAACUUUAUGGUUGGCAUUUGCUCUAUGUAGCUUAUGUAUGCUAUCGCAUACCUAAUGUUUUAUACUUUAUAAUAAUAUGAAGAAUUUGAUUUAGUUGAUAGAAGAUUUUAC
rnacentral:lncRNA from 1 species